GACGAACGCUGGCGGCGUGCUUAACACAUGCAAGUCGAACGGAAAGGCCCUGCUUUUGUGGGGUGCUCGAGUGGCGAACGGGUGAGUAACACGUGAGUAACCUGCCCUUGACUUUGGGAUAACUUCAGGAAACUGGGGCUAAUACCGGAUAGGAGCUCCUGCUGCAUGGUGGGGGUUGGAAAGUUUCGGCGGUUGGGGAUGGACUCGCGGCUUAUCAGCUUGUUGGUGGGGUAGUGGCUUACCAAGGCUUUGACGGGUAGCCGGCCUGAGAGGGUGACCGGCCACAUUGGGACUGAGAUACGGCCCAGACUCCAACGGGAGGCAGCAGUGGGGAAGAGUGCACAAUGGGCGGAAGCCUGAUGCAGCAACGCCGCGUGCGGGAUGACGGCCUUCGGGUUGUAAACCGCUUUCGCCUGUGACGAAGCGUGAGUGACGGUAAUGGGUAAAGAAGCACCGGCUAACUACGUG
rnacentral:rRNA from 1 species